rnacentral:rRNA from 1 species
CCUACGGGAGGCAGCAGUGAGGAAUAUUGGUCAAUGGGCUUACGCCUGAACCAGCCAAGUCGCGUGAGGGAAGACUGCCCUAUGGGUUGUAAACCUCUUUUGUCAGGGAGCAACGCCGGCUACGUGUAGCCGGACUGAGAGUACCUGAAGAAAAAGCAUCGGCUAACUCCGUGCCAGCAGCCGCGGUAAUACGGAGGAUGCGAGCGUUAUCCGGCUUUAUUGGGUUUAAAGGGUGCGUAGGCGGAAUGCCAAGUCAGCGGUAAAAUCGCGGGGCUCAACCUCGCUCCGCCGUUGAAACUGGCGGUCUUGAGUGGGCGAGAAGUAUGCGGAAUGCGUGGUGUAGCGGUGAAAUGCAUAGAGAUCACGCAGAACUCCGAUUGCGAAGGCAGCAUACCGGCGCCCAACUGACGCUGAAGCACGAGAGCGUGGGUAUCGAACAGGAUUAGAUACCCGAGUAGUC